UACGUAGGCAGCAAGCGUUGUUCGGAGUUACUGGGCGUAAAGAGUGCGUAGGUGGUGCCCUAAGUCUGUUGUGAAAUCUCCCGGCUUAACUGGGAGGGUGCGGUGGAAACUGGGGUGCUUGAGUGUGGAGAGGUAGCGGAAUUCCUGGUGUAGCAGUGAAAUGCGUAGAUAUCGUAAGGAAGACCAGUGGCGAAGGCGAAUCUCUGGAACAGUUACUGACACUGAGCACGAAGGCCAGGGAGCAAAGCGGG
rnacentral:rRNA from 1 species